AAAUCACUCAAACAAGAUAAUUUAGCUCCUUGCUCAACAAUUCCUCCUUUUCUCUUCAACUCCAGGGUUAUUGAUUGAGGUCCUGCCUGAAUACAUUUUACUAGAGUUUAGAGAAUUGUAAUAGUUGCAUUGUUUCUCUGGUUACAACCUCAAAAUGCACUGCAGAUUUCUUCAACUGAAAUUGCUCCAAUGUUAAUAUGUUGUGGGAAUGAAAGACUGAUUUCAGCACUUAAGCUACACCACCAGAGGAAACAGCAGUGAGGAGAAACCAAGCGCGAUCAUGGGACAAGAGGUCUUUUCUUCCUGUCUUCAUCUGCUGAUCUGCUCACCUGAUAUUCACUGAGCACCAAGUUUAUGCCAGUGUCAGCUUAAUUUUGUGUAAAUAGUCUGGAAACAUGAUUUUCAUCACAGCAAGCAAAACUUGUAUAGACAUGUUUGUAAGAGGAUAUUUAUACACCACCCCAGGAUGCUCUUUCUCAACUGACAUCACCUGCAUUUAGUCCAUUUCAGUUCUUCCAUGGCUUUAUGUUUUCAAAUCAACCUGCCUGGACUCAAAAGCAGACAAAACCCAGAAGUAAACAGCAGAUAGAGAUGGAAAAAGCUCCAGAAGAAUUUCUCUCCUACAGAUUUAAGAGGAGAAAAUGAGACUCCUAAGUGUCAUAAAGAAUGUGUGUAGGUGGGAUAUCCUCUUUUUUUCUUCUGUUCUUUCCCAUCCAGCCCCAAGACAAUAAUAUGAUGGCAUGGUAGAGGUGAAGAUAAUGGGAGCAGUGGCUCUAGGGACCCCUCUAUGUGAAGAGAAUAUAUUCUGGCCAGGGGAGCUGUACUCACAAAAGUGACUUUAUUAUUAAAGUGCUGAAAAAAAG
rnacentral:lncRNA from 1 species